GUUGCUGAAGGUGAGAGGAGGAAGGCCAGAUGGCACAGAUGGACUGGGAGGGGAUCAGGAGCCGGCAGUCAAUGAGCAAUUAAGGCUGAUUGGCAUUUCAGUCAGGAGGCUGUCUAAUGGGAAUGGUGGCGGGGAGGGGAGGGGUGCAGGGAGGGGAGGAGGUGUGGCAGGCAGAGGUGGGGAGUGGCUUGGUGAUAUGGGAGCACACGAAGUAGGAUGCUGUCCCUGACUUCUAUCCCAGUUCUGGAAGCUUCCAAGGGUGAGUGAGGUGAUGUUUAUGAGUGCCAGGCAGGGCUGACCUCCUCUUACCUGGCUCUUCUCCAGUUUCCGGAUGGCGGUGUUGGCACGGCGCUGUAGCAUCUUCAGUGUGGUCUGCUGCUCCUGCCGCUGCCACUGAGCUCACCUGCGUGGCCACAUCAAAGCGCAGCCGCUCCGGGUUGAGAUGGGAGCCCCGCUGUUCGGUGGUUGGUCCGAGCGUCUGCCGAAGUGCCCAGUUCAGCAGAGCUGCACUCGGUCCCCGACUUGUAAGCACUCGGGAGCCAUGGCCUCAUGCAGGAUGAAGCCUCCACAGACCUGAGCCCGGGCCACAGGGAACAACACAUCCUGAGGAGAAGAGAGUCAAAGUGCCAGAUGACUGAUUGUGGUCAUCCUUCGACUUGUGGCCUCACAUCCACCUCCCAUGGAAGUCAUCCUCGGGGUGUCUGACACUCACCUGCUGCCCUGUACGAAUGAGGUAGCCUCGGUCCGAAGCCUGACCCCCUUGUUCAGCAUAGAAGUUGGUUCUGUCCAAUAGGAGGCCACAGCGCUGGCCUUCUCCCACGGAGGCCACAGCUGUCCCAGUCUCUGAAUACAGCUGUAAUACCUGGGCCUCACAGAGGCCAAACUCUGCCCAGAGGCAGAAGGAUACCAGUGUUAGGGUCUGGGAAUGUGAUGGGUCUGGGAUUUGAGGAAAAGGCAUCUGGCUUCAGAGGGUGAAGAAGGGUUUUCCGGAUGAAGGAGGUAGUGACCCCUGCUGGCUACUUAGGGCAAUGCAAGAGGCUGGUGGCUACCAUUUCUCUCCUUCCCAGUCAAGGUCAGGUAAGCUUGUGCCUACCAGUCUGGGUCUAGGUUCUCACCAUAAUCCCCAUUGGGGCGAAGAGAGUAGUUAUAUUUGGGGCUGUCAUCAGUUGUGGGUAUGCCUUGACGGUGCAGCUCCUCCAGUGCGUGGACAUCAAGACACAAUCCCUCCUCCUGAGCUGCCUCUGCCUGCUGGGCCCGGUGCUGCAGCAGGACAAUAGUGUGUGUGUAUGAGUGUGUGUGUGUGUGUGUGUGUGUGUGUGAGUGUGUGUGUGUGUGUUGAUGGUGAGGGGGCAUCAGAUGUAUGGAGAACUCCACAGGAUGGGGAUUGAGCCUUUGAGAGCCCUGUCUCUGUGGACCCGGCAUAAGAAUAAGACCUAAGGGUGUUUGCUGGCUUCUAGAGAGCUAUCUUAUGUGUCUACUAAACUAGACAGGACAGAUGCCUCAGGGUCAGGUCUCUUUGCUCACAACCACCUGAGGACUCCCUCCCCUCAGCUUCUGUUUGGUCACUGGGGCUGAUGUUUCUCUCCGUAGACUGAGCAGGGCUGUGGUUCUGUCCCCUCAGCGAUAAGGGCAGAGGGAGGAAUGGCUGGGUCACUGCCCGGUCCGUGGACUGUACCUGGGCUUCCUUCUGGGCUAGCUGCUCCAGGCCCGCAGUGUCCAGCUUCACCCCCUUCUCCUCCAACAUUAGCUGCACCAGGUCCAGGGGGAUCCCCAGAUUCCCAGACAGUGACAGUGACCAGGCCACUUCGGCUGAGGAGAGAGAGCAGAAGUUUUGAGGAUGAGAGCAGCAGAUCAAAGGGAGGAGAAGGAAGAGAGCUGGCUCAGGCUUUUUCGGCCACACAGACCCCCUCCAGUGUGCGAGGAGCCAUCUUGAAACUUUGAAACUUGGGUUCCAAGGCUCCCAACUCACCAGGGAACAAAUCAGAAGGGCCCAAGCGCUUAACGGUGCGAUCAAUGAUCCGACGGCCUCUCUGCAGGGAGGCCAGGAAGGCUGCCUCAUCCUCUGACACCAGCCCUGCCACUCCCGCAGCACCAGACUCACGGGGCGCCUGACAUCCCCGGGGAGACGCCAUCAGCAAUGCAGACACUGAGCGUGCGGAUGUGAUCAGCUACAACUCGGUACGCUGUGUCUAUUCGUCCCUCAUCCGCUGCCCCUACGCGGCCAGAGUACGGGGGAACCCUGCAGCUCUGUAAAGCAGGAGAGCGGCCAUAGCUGUUGGGUCUGCCUGACCCGGCCCAGGCUCAGGACACCAGACUCAGGACACCGAGGGCUAACAGAAUAGUGGGUGCAGUCAGGUAGAAGUGCCUUCAUCACGUCCCGACAUUCUCCGAGAAGCAUUCUCCUUCUCUGGGAUGAAGGCCCAUGCUGUGGACUACUUAUCAACAACAUGGCACAAAGACCUUCUAAGACCUCUUAAGAAAGGACCACCACUCGGCCUUGGUGUUGGGGCCUGAACUCUCUUCAGAAUCCUGCCAUGCUUCUGUCUGUAAAGUUAAUAAAUCUUCUAAUAAUUUUUUUACCCUAAUAGAGGAUCUGCCUCAGUGUCUGCUUGAGCUCCAAGCCCAGAACCUUUCUUAAGGAUAGACACAUGCACAUUUUGAAUGGAUGAGGGGAAGAAUGAGGGGUAACAUCAGGUCGCAGUACACUUGAUACCCUAGGAUCCUUGGUCUGUACUGUCCCCACAUGUUGGGAAUGCUCUUGAGUUCUCAACAACACCAGAGGGUGGAGGAACUGGGGAGAUGGUUCAGCUGGUACAGUGUUUACCUCACCAGCACGAGGACCCGACUUUGACCUCUACAACCCAUGUACAAUUGCUGGCCCAGUGGCAUAUGAUUCUAAUGCCAAUGCUACACACACACACACACACGCACGUGCACACAUGCACACCGGAAAGCUAAAAAAUAAUGGGGCUGGGGUUGGGGAUUUAGCUCAGUGGUAGAGCGCUUGCCUAGGAAGCACAAGGCCCUGGGUUCGAUCCCCAGCUCCGAAAAAAAGAACCAAAAAAAAAAAAAAAAAAAAUGGGGCUGAGGCAGAGGGGGUGCUCACCUGGUGUAUAGCAUCAAGCAGUGGAGAAAAGAGGUCGGUGUCGUAGGUGGAAUGCUUGCCCUGCAGUACAGCCACCAGUCUUUCCAGGCCCAUUCCUGUGUCCACAUGUUGCUGUGGCAGCAGAUGCAGGCUUCCGUCUGCCUCUCUGGCCAGGAAAAGUGUGCAAGGUGAGGCCAACUGGGUCUGGCAGGUCUGAGGCAGGUGGUCAACUUCAGCAGAAACCUGACAACCCAGGGGCUGAGAGAGGCAGGUACCCCCGCUCCCCUGCUCAAAUGUAGAUGAUGAAGACCUUGGGUCCUCUCUUUUCUCAAAAAGGAGAAAGGCCUUGCUUGGGCCCUUGUCUGCACCUAGACAUGCCCACUAAGAUAGAUUCUUUGUCUUUAGAGAGAUCUGUAAGAUACGUUAGAAGAAAAUCAUAGCAAUCACCAAGCUCAACUCCAUGAUGUGACAGGAGGCCAGAGAACAUCAGUAAUGAGUGAAGGAUGUCACAGUCAAGGAGGAGAAUUAGAUCAGUUUCUCUUUUUGACUAGCAACUAGUGGUAGUGACGGCCACCAUUACCUGUAGUGUUGCAUGAAGACCAGAUUCCAUAGCUCAACCAGCUGGGGGGGUCCCAUUCCACCAGCCAGAUCGUAAUGGAUCUCGGUACAAGGCCCACAAGGUCCGGUGUCUCCCAUCUCCCAGAAGUUCUCUUGCAGUCCGAACGAGAGCACACGGCUGGCAGGUACCCUGGGGAGAAAGUCAUGUAAGUGGUGGGAGACUGGCAUGGUCAGAGGCUGGGAUAGCCUCUCACCCAAGUCCAGGUUAGGAAGAGGGUCCUAGGGCUGAGCAUAGCAUGCUGGGACAUGCCAAAGUCAUGAGGGCUUGUACAGAUAGGUCUGUUUUCUACUCUUCCUAUUGCCAGGGGACAGAAGAAGGGGCCUGACUUACCCCAAGCUGAGCCAGAUGUCUCUGGUCUCCAGGUCUGGGUCCAACCCUGUCUUGGAGUCACCACUGAAAUAGGAGACCCAUAACCUGUCCUCAGGGAUCCCAUAGACUUGAGUCAGCAGUUCCCAGGCCAUGCUACAUGCUUCUUUCUGCAGGGAAACCCACCAUGGGGGUGGAGAGAUGAGACGAUCUGGCCACCCAAGUUCAUGAGAAUAAGACAAAACCAUUCCCACUACCCACCCUAGCUUCAAUGUCAGACCAUGUCCACUUCUGCCUUGAGGCUUUUCUUACCCAGAAAGUGUGCCCAUCGUUACAGACCUACCUUCUUUCCAGACCCAGAUGAAUUCUAUCUUCUCCAUAAACCUCUCCACCCAGCCACCCUGACCUGGGGACUUUAGGUCCAGUGACUCCAGUGGCGAUCUCAGCACAGCUGUCUGGCUAUCUGUUCAGCUAACUUUUAAAUGGCCAUUAGGCAGGAGACAGUCCCUUCCCUCAGUCAGGGAAGUGAGGCAUAUUCCUUCACAUUGGACGUUGUGUGUGUGUGUGUGUGCGCGCAUGUGCAUGUGUGUGUGCACUCCUGUAACAUGUGGGCAUUCACCUGUGAAAGUUAAAGGACAGCUGUGGGUGUCUGUACUUAGGAACUAAUUUUUGUUUGAAACAGGGUCUCUCAUUAGCUUGGAACCUUGUCUGUAGGCUAGACGAGCUUGUCUGUGAACUUCCAAGGAUCCUCCAGAAUCACAGACACAGACUUUCGGGCUGCACUUUAAAUGCAAGUUCUGGGAACCACAAGCACUUUACCAACCAAGUCAUCUUUCUCCCCUAUAACACAGCCUAGCACCUGGCCACAAUGUCCAGUAUUCGGGGUUCAAAGGCUUUAAGUCUAGAGUUCCCCGGAAACUCACCUUAAAAUAUUCACCCCCAAAAGCCCAGUUGCCAAGCAUCUCAAAAAAAGUAUGAUGAGAGAGAUCACGGCCCACAUCUUCCAGGUCGUUAUGGCGUCCUCCAGCCCUGACACAUUUCUGGCUGUUAGCUACUCGUCGGAAGCCUGCCAUCUCGCUUCGUGGAUCCACCGUGCCCAGGAAGAUGGGCUUGAACUGGAAGCACAAAAGUAAGGAAGGGGGAUUAAACUGGGGAGUGGAUGCAGAUGGCUGUUGAAACUCAACACUAUUUGUGACUCCAAGGGUACAAUGUGGUCUUGGAUAUGGGAACCCCAAGGAGCUCAGGCAGCCGUUUCUAGUGUAUGUGAAGCAAAGAAGAGGAAAAUGAACCUAAACCAGACACUUCUUCCUAGUAAAAAGUAGUAAAAUUUACCUAGCAGGAGUGCAAUAAAUGUCUAUUUAAUAAAUGAAUUCUAUUUAUUUAAAUAGUUUUCCACUCGAAGCCCGUCCCUCAGGGCCUCACACCUGUUAUCCGAGGAUAAUAAACUUAAUUUCUCCCAACAAGUUUCCAAGCUAAUUCCCCAAACCUAACCAGGCUCCCAACCACUUUACCCAGUCCCUCUUCCACUCUGAGUUCCGCCCCUCACUUUUUUGGUCCAAUCUUGAAAGCACUUUUCUCAGGCUGACCCCUCGAGCUCCGCCCCCGAUCGGUGUGGCCCCGCCCCGACCUGGUUCAUGCCUGCGUUGACGAAAAGCAGGCUGGGGUCGCCGCGCGGCCUCACGGAAGCGGAGGGCACGAGCCGGUGGCCGUGGCGAUCUCGGAAGAAGCUCAGGAAGGCGUCCCGCACGGCCGCUCCGUGGGGUGGGUGGGGCUCGGUUGAGAACCGCUGCCAUGGGCACGACCUCCCAAUGGCUCGCCGCAGCCUCCCGGCCGCAGCAGCCACUGACGCCGCCAUUUUAGCUCCGGGCAACGGCUUCGCGGGGUCAAAGAGUGACGUGCGAAAGGACGCCUAGGUUUCCUACAGCGGCCCCUGGCGGGUGGAAGACUUAGGGGGCAAGUCUCAGCUUCUGGUGGAAGUGGUCGCGCAAGAAGGGGACUACCCCUGGCUAGCGGUUCAGCAUACGACUUUGCACACAGUAGACCCUUAGUUCAUCCAGGAUUAAACCGAUAAUCAUAAAAAAA